rnacentral:rRNA from 1 species
AUUGAACGCUGGCGGCAUGCCUUACACAUGCAAGUCGAACGGUAACAGGUCUUCGGAUGCUGACGAGUGGCGAACGGGUGAGUAAUACAUCGGAACGUGCCUAGUAGUGGGGGAUAACUACUCGAAAGAGUGGCUAAUACCGCAUGAGAUCUACGGAUGAAAGCAGGGGAUCGAAAGACCUUGUGCUACUAGAGCGGCCGAUGGCAGAUUAGGUAGUUGGUGGGAUAAAAGCUUACAAGCCGACGAUCUGUAGCUGGUCUGAGAGGACGAUCCGCCACACUGGGACUGAGACACGGCCCAGACUCCUACGGGAGGCAGCAGUGGGGAAUUUUGGACAAUGGGCGAAAGCCUGAUCCAGCAAUGCCGCGUGCAGGGUGAAGGCCUUCGGGUUGUAAACUGCUUUUGUACGGAACGAAAAGCCCUGGGUUAAUACCCUGGGGUCAUGACGGUACCGUAAGAAUAAGCACCGGCUAACUACGUGCCAGCAGCCGCCGUAAGAC